UAUCUGCACAAAAGUUGUGCGCAAUUUAUACUUGUUUAUUUUGGAUUAGAGGAACGGUGGAAAUUUGCGCUAUUAUUUAUGCUAUUGCUUUUUCGUUUGACAUUUCUGUAUGGUAUAUUAAUAAUACCCUGAUUUUGGCAACGCAACCUAACGUACUACUUAUCUACUAGGCCAGACGUGUCUUUUUCUCGACUUAAAUUAUCCGAUUGGGGGUGGUGUCACCUGUUGAAGAAUUAAAUUUGUAUUAAACUUUUCUUCGACUAGUAUAUACCUACGGAGUCAAAUGGCGAAAUUAUCGACUUCGGAUGCGUUAUCUAUGCACUACAGAAGUUAAAAAUUACUUUAGGUCCCAAGUGAAUUUUUCUACAAUUUACCAAACUUUAUAAAUUAGGUAUUACAAUUAUUUGCUGGCUAGAUUCUAACAAGUCGUAUAGGUAAUGGCAGUAUAAGGAGCUGUAUACUAAUUAAAAUACAAUCAACAGUGGUCAAAGGUGAACGUAAUGCUUAUCAUAAUUAUAUGGUACCAAACCUUUCAAAAUGAAUUCCUACAACAACUCUAGCUCGUCGCAAAAAAUAAUAUUAGUCUCAAGUAAACCCAUGCAGAGAUUUUAUGACUUCUGUGAUUCAAUUAACUAAAUAAUGACGUACAUCAGACAGCCGAAGUAAUGAAAAUUAAACGAAUGUUCUACUUAAAAGGUUGUCCUUCACUUUGUAAACUGUUUUGAAUUAUACCAAGUUGCCGGUUUUUUAAAGUUGUUUUUCUAUAAUUGGGAAACCUCAAUCCAAUUGACAUAAUUGUAAUGAUGUUGCGAAUUGUUUUAAUUACUUCGUAUUUUCCUAAUGGACAGGCCUUCAAUUUUGGUACAGUUUGACGUAGUUAGUACCUACUGCAGUUACUGGAUUAACUUCGUCGAUUAAACCUUCAUUGUGCAAAAUUUGUACGAACAUGGGAUCCUUACUCAAAGGAACCCUCCUCAUGUAACUUACGAGCAGUAGGUACUAUACCAUCCUGUGCGGUGCCGACACGUACAAUAACAAUACCAAAAUUAAUAUUUAUUUAAGAAACUAAACAAGUAUCAAUAUAUAGGUAAGUACUCACGACUGUUAUUUAGUUAUUCUAAACUUUAUUAUCAUAAGUAAGUACAUACAGUAUAUGCAAAAACGUAGAUAAUGGUAGAUAACGCACAUUGAAAGGCUAUUGUUGUUAAAUUCGCUAUUUUUAAACUGAUCGGAGGUGCACUCUACUUAAACUAUUAGAGAUAGUGGACUGAUUCUAAUUAAAUGUGGGCAGUUAGAUAACGUUUUAAUUUUUUAUUGUAUGCUUAUAGUUGUGUCCGCUCUCAUAUUCUUUUCGUAUACGCUGGCUUGGUUGAGUACCGACCACCAUAACAUUUUUCUUACUGUGGACGCUCGUUAGAAAAAUGUAUUACUUCUAUUUCUAUAUGAUGACAUUCUAAUACGUAUUACCUUCGUAGUCUAUUGCAGAGAAAUACGAGGUAUAUUCAAGUAUAAAUCUAGAAUGUUAUAAUAGAUAUGCAUUGACCCACCUUGUCCUAGACUCGUACCUACUUCCCAGAGGAUAGGGACCCUAAUUCAUAUGUUGUCUUGUAGGAUUUCAAGUUAAAAUGUUUGCGGUCGUUUGCCAAUUUUUUUUAAAAUAGAGUAGCACAGAAACAAAGCAAAUGGAAGACACCAUUAGAAAUAAUUAGGUUACCUAGUUCCUUAAUUAACAAAUUGCAUUUUAUGCCAACAAUUGACAUGGGGUUUCAUUUAAUUACGGAUUGAAGCUUUUGUCAUUUUUAAAAUGCUAUAAUCAAAGGUAUUAAUUACCCAGAUCGUAGCUUAUCAUUUAAACAAUCAUCAAUUUGCUAUUAAGAGUUGAGCAAGGGUUGCAUCGAAGGAUAGACUCCAAAAAUGAUUGAUUUCUACCAAAAAAUUGAAACUCAAGUAUUUGUUCUUGAAUAAUAAUUACUCAACGAGAAGUUUAAUGUUGGUACCAGCUGCUUUUCGUGCUUUAAUCUAAGCCACCUACACACCACGUGCUCGCAUAAAGCAGGAACCAGCCCCCUAUAACCAUAAGCAGUUAGAUGCACAAUAUAACCGAAUUCACUUUGAUACAUCCCGAUCGGGAAACCUGACAUGAAGAGGCAUGUUACAUCACCUACCUGACUUACGGACUAGUUCCUUUUUUAGGGAUAAGUGUCCGCAUAAAUGGCGUUUGGGACAUUUGUAUACGGUACUGAUAGUUUGCUAAAAACCCCUAAGGAAGCUGCUAUUUUGGAUAUAGGUACUUUUAACGGAGCAAAACCGCAGUAAUUUUCGCCAUAACUCCAGCCAGUAUAAAUUUCUCUAAAUUACUCUAAUUUACCCGCAGACAACAUAUUUACGUUUAAGGCGCUUUAAAAGGAUAAAUUUGGUAUUGGUAGGAUGUUGGUAUACAUGUUGUAGACCAAUUUAUGGGAUUUAUUUUAAAAUAGGAUUUUUAUUCAUUUUUACCCAUCGAGUUCAUGUUUUACGUCGAUAAGAUAUAUAUUAAUAAACUGUAGUUUAUUAAAAAGCUUCCUUAUCUGUGCCCGCACUCGAGAGAGUGCCACCACUGUACUUUAUUUGAGGUUCUCCUUUCUUUAGUGUCACAGCUAGCCUCAUAGGCACCUUUGAUGGUCAUGCAAAGGUUUGAUCCCAUGACUUCCAGUUCCGCCGAGUUAUUGAUUGCCGCGAGACGGUUUUCGAGAUCGACCUUUAGGUUCUUUCUGCAGAGUUCCCAGUUGAUUCGUCGGAUAUCUAUUUACGGCUGCACCCGCUUCGUUUGAUGUUGAUCCAAUGUCAAUCAAAACAAAUAUAUCUAUGGCCAGAUAGCGAUGCAUCGUCAAACACCCAACAGCCUGAUUCAUUCAUCGAACAGUUGCAAUUUAAUAUUUGAAAUAGCAAUAACUCCCUCAUUGUCUACUACUGAACGUACGUUUUGAAUAUUUGAAUAUUUACAAGACCGCCUUCACACGUCAAAAGAAUCUAGCCGAUGCGAACCAUGUCGAUAUUGUUAUAUUAGAGAGAAUGCUUAAUUUCAGCUAGAGAGGGCUCUACGUCUUCCUACAAACUUAGGCCCCCUCAUGAGAAACAAGAUUUCAAUGAAAAUUUGUGGUGCCUUCAAAGAUUGAAGAAAAUAAUGUACGCUUGAAAUCAGGAGUCCGUGGCCUUGCGUCAUCGAUUUCUGUAUCAAUAUUAGACAUAUGAAGACAUACGCUAAAACGCUGUAACAACUAUCAAGUGUGCGAAAUCGAUAAAAAAAACUUGUCUGACCAUGGGUGCGUUCACCAGAACCAACUGUUUGCAAACCGUUUGCGCUUUUUAUAUAAGCAUAUUUACUGAACGCAUUGCUAAUUGUCAAACUGUUUGUAAGCGGUCGCCAUUUUUU